GUCGAUUUGGCGCAAUGGUAGCGUACAGACCUCCUAAGUAUGGUCAGUCUGGGGUUGCGGGUUCGAGUCCCGUGAUCGAUG